rnacentral:rRNA from 1 species
UACAGAGGUUUCAAGCGUUGUUCGGAUUCAUUGGGCGUAAAGGGUGCGUAGGCGGUGCGGUAAGUCGGAUGUGAAAUCUCGGAGCUUAACUUCGAAACUGCAUUCGAUACUGCCGUGCUUGAGGACUGGAGAGGAGACUGGAAUUUACGGUGUAGCGGUGAAAUGCGUAGAUAUCGUAAGGAAGACCAGUGGCGAAGGCGGGUCUCUGGACAGUUCCUGACGCUGAGGCACGAAGGUCAGGGGA